UCGGGAAUUUUGGGCAAUGGGCGAAAGCCUGACCCAGCAACGCCGCGUGAGGGAUGAAGUAUUUCGGUAUGUAAACCUCGAAAGAAUGGGAAGAAUAAAUGACGGUACCAUUUAUAAGCUCCGGCUAACUACGUGCCAGCAGCCGCGGUAAUACGUAGGGAGCAAGCGUUGUUCGGAUUUACCGGGCGUAAAGGGCGCGUAGGCGGCGCGGUAAGUCACUUGUGAAAUCUCUGAGCUUAACUCAGAACGGCCAAGUGAUACUGCUGUGCAAGAGUGCGGAAGAGGCAACCGGAAUUCUUGGUGUAGCGGUGAAAUGCGUAGAUAUCAAGAGGAGCACCUGAGGCGAAGGCGGGUUGCUGGGCCGACACUGACGCUGAUGCGCGAAAGCCAGGGGAGCAAACGG
rnacentral:rRNA from 1 species